UAGUGUUAUCACGUAAUUUAUCAGCCUAUUACCUAUAAUUGCUUGUAUGCGUGAGUGAGUGCGUGCGUGCGUGUGUGUGUGUGUGUGUGUGUGUGUGUGCAUAAUUGUUAGUCACUUCCAUGUUGACAAUUUUUUAGGGCAAGCCUGUUGAUAUUAGUGGCCCAUCCUUGACAUAAGAUUCAAAUGAGAUUUCUCUCUUGUCGUGAAAACAGCAUAGCUUGCGGAGUAUUUUGUUAAUGUUCAGUUAAAACAGCCGUGGAAAAGUAGCUAAUAUUUUCUUCU